rnacentral:rRNA from 1 species
AUUGAACGCUGGCGGCAGGCCUAACACAUGCAAGUCGAGCGAGCGGCGGACGGGUGAGUAAUGUAUGGGGACUGCCCGAUAGAGGGGGAUAACUACUGGAAACGGUAGCUAAUACCGCAUACUAUCGGAUAACCCAUAGGGGAUUAGCUAGUAGGUGAGGUAAUGGCUCACCUAGGCGACGAUCCCUAGCUGGUCUGAGAGGAUGAUCAGCAACACUGGGAGUGCGACACGGCCCAGAUGCCUACGGAGGAAGAAGGGGGGAAUAUGGCACAAUGGGCGCAAGCCUGAUGCAGCCAUGCCGCGUGUAUGAAGAAUGCCCUAGGGUUGUAAAGUACUUUCAGUCGGGAGGCCUUACCGACACAAGAAGCGCCGGCUAACUCUGUGCGAGCCGCCGCGGUAAUAC